rfam:Exophiala mesophila strain CBS 40295 unplaced genomic scaffold supercont1.1, whole genome shotgun sequence.
GUCGGAAUGGCCGAGUGGUCUAAGGCGUGUGACUUGAAUUGAGCUUAGUUCAUUGUUAUCACAUCUCUUCGGAGGCACAGGUUCGAACCCUGUUUCCGACG